AGCUCGAGGUUAGCUCUUCACUGCCCUGUGUCUUCUUUCCAAGGGUCUCGGUGAUUCGGCCACAGCCUCAGCCUCCAUCACGCGGUGAACUGAUGGUGCUGGAAGAUUCAUAGACUCCAGGACAUUCCUGAAGCCGAGAAAAGGUUAAGUAGGGUCUGGCCUGGAAUACUCUCCUAGAUGAAGAUAGCCCAACCAUGAGCCACCUUCGAAGCAGAUGAGAUGAAAUUAAAGCUCUUCAACUCCUAAAGGCCCAGAGACUAUCACAAAAGAGGUCAGAAAUCCUGAAGGUCACUUUCUGACAAACUCAGGAACCCCAGGUUUAUCUUGGAGCCUCAAGAGGAGAUAAAUUCACCCAACUCAGGCUGGAGUGCAGUGGAAUGAUCUUGGCUCACUUCCGUCUCCGCCUUCCAGUUUCAAGUGAUUCUCCUGCCUCAGCCUACUGAGUAGUUGGGAUUACAGGUGCCUGCCACCACACCCAGCUAAUUUUUGUAUUUUUAGUAAAGAUGGGGUUUCACCAUGUUGGCCAGGCUGGUCUCAAACUCCUGACGUCAUGAUCUGCCCGCUUCAGUCUCCCAAAGUGUGAUUACAGAGUGAGGCUGGCUGGGGGAGCCUGGGCUCCUCUGUCCUCCCCGAGGUGGCAGUGGCUGAUGUCUGCUCAGGUGUGAGGGGGUGCUGCCAUCCUCUGGGCCUGAGGCUGCCUGGCCCAGCCCCUCCUAACUCCCUGGACUCUUCCACGGUGUCUUCAGGCCCCUACACCAUCCUUUGUGUAAGGGGAGGUGGCAGCAUAGAGAUGAUGGGGGAACUGCCCCAUGUGCCAAGGAAAGCUCACCCAUCUGUGCGAAAUGCUCUGGUUGACAUUGGGUUUUUGCGCACCAAACUGGGCCAUGACCAAGGUUUAUAACCAAGGUGUCUCCGGGCAUGGGCACUUUGGCUCUUGUAGAAACCACCCCACUGGCAGGAGACGGCGGUAGCUGUGGUCAUUGAAAACAAGCUCCUGCUGAUAAAUCUCAGACACCAGACACAGAAGAACCUGGAGACCCUGCCAGAGAGCUUGAGGCAAAUGGAUGGACUGUUGGAGCAGCUGAGGGUGAAGCAGCACAAACUCCUCAAAGUUGAAUAGCAAAGCAGCCACCAGAGAUGGACAAGAAAAAUGAACAAAGAAAAUUAGCAGAAAUCAAAGGCAGAUGCUAAAGCAGUGCAAAAUCAUUCAUUCAAUGAUAGAAAUGAAAUUGAUGAAGGAGUCUGGAAAAUGAAUGACAGAAGAGAAUUAAACAGCAGUGACCAUAGUAAGGUCCUGACGAUUCUGGUCCACUGAAUCCCAUCAUCCCUAAGACAGUAAAUAUCAUCACAGUCACCACCAGCAAGUUACCACCACAGCAUUUCCUGUUUGUUCCAAAAUGAAUAAAGAUGAUUCUCAUCACAAGGGCAAAUACAAAGUAGUUUAGUAUGUUUUUAACUAAACUAAAGGUGUUUGGUUUACUUUUUCUAAGUUCUCAUAAUUCUGAAAAUGCAGUUGACACUUGUGUGGCUCAUGAUGUUUUUAAUAGUCUAAUGCUACUUGAAUUGUUCAAAAACCACUGUAUUUUAAAUUAAGAUGAAUAAACGGUCCUUUGAAAACUGGCACAAGGCAAGGAUGCCCUCUGUCACCACUCCUAUUCAACACAGUAUUGGAAGUUCUGGCCAGGGCAAUCAGGCAAGGGAAAGCAAUACAGCGUAUCAAAAUAGGAAGAGAGGAAGUCAAAUUGUCUCUGUUUGCAGAUGACAUGAUUGCAUAUUUAGAAAACCCCAUCUUCUCAGCCCAAAACCUCCUUAAGCUGAUAAGCAACUUCAGCAGUCUCAGAAUACAAAAUCAAUGUGCAAAAAAUCACAAGCAUUCCUAUACAUUAAUAACAGACAAACAGAGAGCCAAAUCAUGA
ensembl:lncRNA novel transcript